ACGAACGCUGGCGGCGUGGAUAAGACAUGCAAGUCGAACGGGAGAAUUGCUAGCUUGCUAAUAAUUCUCUAGUGGCGCACGGGUGAGUAACACGUGAGUAACCUGCCUCUUAGUGGGGGAUAGCCCUGGGAAACCGGGAUUAAUACCGCAUACGAUUGAAAGAUCAAAGCAGCAAUGCGCUAGGAGAUGGGCUCGCGGCCUAUUAGUUAGUUGGUGAGGUAACGGCUCACCAAGGCGAUGACGGGUAGCCGGUCUGAGAGGAUGUCCGGCCACACUGGAACUGAGACACGGUCCAGACACCUACGGGUGGCAGCAGUCGAGAAUCAUUCACAAUGGGGGCAACCCUGAUGGUGCGACGCCGCGUGGGGGAAUGAAGGUCUUCGGAUUGUAAACCCCUGUCAUGUGGGAGCAAAUUAAAAAGAUAGUACCACAAGAGGAAGAGACGGCUAACUCUGUGCCAGCAGCCGCGGUAAUACAGAGGUCUCAAGCGUUGUUCGGAAUCACUGGGCGUAAAGCGUGCGUAGGCUGUUUCGUAAGUCGUGUGUGAAAGGCAGGGGCUCAACCCCUGGAUUGCACAUGAUACUGCGAGACUAGAGUAAUGGAGGGGGAACCGGAAUUCUCGGUGUAGCAGUGAAAUGCGUAGAUAUCGAGAGGAACACUCGUGGCGAAGGCGGGUUCCUGGACAUUAACUGACGCUGAGGCACGAAGGCCAGGGGAGCGAAAGGGAUUAGAUACCCCUGUAGUCCUGGCAGUAAACGGUGCACGCUUGGUGUGCGGGGAAUCGACCCCCUGCGUGCCGGAGCUAACGCGUUAAGCGUGCCGCCUGGGGAGUACGGUCGCAAGAUUAAAACUCAAAGAAAUUGACGGGGACCCGCACAAGCGGUGGAGUAUGUGGCUUAAUUCGAUGCAACGCGAAGAACCUUACCUGGGCUUGACAUGUAAUGAACAACAUGUGAAAGCAUGCGACUCUUCGGAGGCGUUACACAGGUGCUGCAUGGCCGUCGUCAGCUCGUGUCGUGAGAUGUUUGGUUAAGUCCAGCAACGAGCGCAACCCCUGUUGCCAGUUACCAGCACGUCAAGGUGGGGACUCUGGCGAGACUGCCCAGAUCAACUGGGAGGAAGGUGGGGACGACGUCAGGUCAGUAUGGCCCUUAUGCCCAGGGCUGCACACGUACUACAAUGCCCAGUACAGAGGGGGCCGAAGCCGCGAGGCGGAGGAAAUCCUGGAAACUGGGCCCAGUUCGGACUGUAGGCUGCAACCCGCCUACACGAAGCCGGAAUCGCUAGUAAUGGCGCAUCAGCUACGGCGCCGUGAAUACGUUCCCGGGUCUUGUACACACCGCCCGUCACAUCAUGGAAGCCGGUCGCACCCGAAGUAUCUGAAGCCAACCGCAAGGAGGCAGGGUCCUAAGGUGAGACUGGUAACUGGGAUG
rnacentral:rRNA from 1 species